rnacentral:rRNA from 1 species
AGUGAACGCUGGCGGUAGGCCUAACACAUGCAAGUCGAACGGCAGCACAGUAAGAGCUUGCUCUUACGGGUGGCGAGUGGCGGACGGGUGAGGAAUACAUCGGAAUCUACUUUUUCGUGGGGGAUAACGUAGGGAAACUUACGCUAAUACCGCAUACGACCUACGGGUGAAAGCAGGGGAUCUUCGGACCUUGCGCGAUUGAAUGAGCCGAUGUCGGAUUAGCUAGUUGGCGGGGUAAAGGCCCACCAAGGCGACGAUCCGUAGCUGGCCUGAGAGGAUGAUCGGCCACACUGGAACUGAGACACGGUCCAGACUCCUACGGGAGGCAGCAGUGGGGAAUCUUGGGCAAUGGGCGCAAGCCUGACCCAGCCAUGCCGCGUGAGUGAUGAAGGCCUUCGGGUUGUAAAGCCCUGUUGUCGGGAAAGAAAAGCUGCGGAUGUAUACCCCGCUGUUCUGACGGUACCCAAUGAGCAAGCACCGGCUAACUUCGUG